GAUAAACGCUGGCGGCGUGCUUCAGGCAUGCAAGUCGAACGGACCUUCGGGUCAGUGGCGGACGGGUGAGUAACACGUAAGUAACCUGCCCAGAAGUGGGGAAUAACUAGCCGAAAGGCUGGCUAAUACCGCAUGUGAUGGUUGUUCCCUGGAGCAAUCAUGAAAGGCGAAAGUCGCUUCUGGAGGGGCUUGCGGCCGAUUAGCUAGUUGGUGGGGUAAUGGCCUACCAAGGCUUCGAUCGGUAGCUGGUCUGAGAGGACGGACAGCCACACGGGGACUGAGAUACGGCCCCGACUCCUACGGGAGGCAGCAGCUAGGAAUCUUGGGAAUGGGCGAAAGCCUGAUCUAGCCAUGCCGCGUGGGUGAUGAAGGCCUUAGGGUCGUAAAGCCCUUUCGCUGGGGAAGAUAAUGACGGUACCCAGUAAAGAAACCCCGGCUAACUCCGUGCCAGCCGCCGCCGUAAUAC
rnacentral:rRNA from 1 species